AUUGAACGCUGGCGGCAGGCCUAACACAUGCAAGUCGAACGAGUGGCGGACGGGUGAGUAAUGUCUGGGAAACUGCCUGAUGGAGGGGGAUAAUUACUGGAAACGUUAGCUAAACCCGCAUACCAUCGGAUUUGCCCAGAUGGGAUUAGCUAGUAGUUGGGGGAAAGGCUCACCUAGGCGACGAUCCCUAGCUGGUCUGAGAGGAUGACCAGCCACACUGGAACUGAGACACGGUCAAGACUCCUACGGGAGGAAGCAGUGGGAAAUAUUGGACAAUGGGCGCAAGCCUGAUGCAGCCAUGCCGCGUAGAGGAAGAGGGCCUUCGGGUUGUAAAGUACUUUCAGCGGGGAGACGUUAACCGCAGAAGAAGCACCGGCUAACUCCGUGCCAGCAGCCGCGGUAAUUC
rnacentral:rRNA from 1 species